GUUGAUUUCUAGCAUUGGCGUUAGCUGCUGAUUAAAAAAAGAAAAUCACAAAACCCACCGCCCAACCCACGCACGCAGCCUACCCCAGGCCCAAAGCAGACAGACACGCAUCCCCUAGAGGAACACACGCACGCCCAGGAGGAGCGCGACCACCAAGCUGGCGGCGGCGUGCCUCCCAGUGGCGCGCGCCCCCGGCACAGCAGCUCCGCAGGCCUCCCCUCCAUGAUUUUAGGGAUUCUGUAGUGCUGGGAUAAGAAAUCGUGGAUUUGAGUAGGAAUGGAUGCUACUGAAGUUCCAGAAGGGAUUGAUCCAAAGAAUGCUUGUAAAAUAGAGGUCAAUGUCAACUCAUACUUCAGCACUAGAGAUGGUAAGAAGGUGUACAAUCGGGGUCGGAUCAUAAAAUGGAUUGUUGAUUCGGAACAAUAUGCAGUCAUUGAUCUCGAGAAGGAUAUUAUUAGAGAAGGAUAUCUCUGAGACAGCAACCAAAGGGCAAAUUUCUGGGUUGUAACAGGGCCCCAUUUGACAUGCAAGUUAACUUCAGAUGGUCAGCUUCUUAACUUGCAAUGUUGAUGAGCCAACUGGAGUAGACGAAGAGUGGAGGUACUUCAACAAUGUAGAUUCUGCUAUUCAUGAUGCACAACCAGUAGAAAAUAUUGAAGAAGAGUUGCAGAAAAGGAAGAGGACAAGGCUUAUUCCAGAAUUUGAUACUGAAUGUGUUCCUGACGAUGAGGCUGCUAUGGUAGAUGAUUACAUUUAUCCUCACACAAUUCAUGAUAAAGAGAAUCCAGUCAUUAAGGAAGGAGACACGUUUGGAGAUAA